rnacentral:rRNA from 1 species
UACGGAGGGGGCGAGCGUUAUUCGGAAUUAUUGGGCGUAAAGGGCGCGUAGGCGGCUGAACAAGUCAACGGUGAAAUCCCUCGGCUCAACUGAGGAACUGCCUUUGAAACUGUUCGGCUUGAGGCCGGGAGGGGGUAGCGGAAUUCCCAGUGUAGCGGUGAAAUGCGUAGAGAUUGGGAAGAACACCAGUGGCGAAGGCGGCUAUCUGGACGGUUUCUGACGCUAAGACGCGAAAGCGUGGGGAGCAAACAGG